AUACGGAAGGUCCGGGCGUUAUCCGGAUUUAUUGGGUUUAAAGGGAGCGCAGGCGGAGAUGCAAGCGUGACGUCAAAUUUCGGGGCUCAACCCCGUCUCGCGUCGCGAACUGCGUCCCUUGGUUGCGGGAAGGGGAGGCGGAACUCGUGGUGUAGCGGUGAAAUGCAUAGAUAUCACGAAGAACUCCGAUCGCGAAGGCAGCCUUCCGGCCCGUCAACGACGCUCAUGCUCGAAGGUGCGGGUAUCAAACAGGAUUAGAUACCCUGGUAGUCCGCACAGUAAACGAUGGACACCCGCGGUUUGGCCUGUAUGGCUGAGCCGCCAAGCGAAAGCGUUAAGUGUCCCACCUGGGGAGUACGCCGGCAACGGUGAAACUUAAAGGAACUGGCGGG
rnacentral:rRNA from 1 species